UUGAAAAUCUCAUCAAGAUCUUUUCUCAGAAGAUGAAAGUCCUACCAUCUACAAGACCCAUACCCAAUUUUCACUUCCCCACUUUCUAAUCAUACAAGACUUUCAAAAUCCAAACACCCUCUUCUCUCCUGCAUCCACUCCGGCGACCGGAACCGGAGAAAUUCCGGCCAGUGCUGACCGAAUUCUAGUGAGCCGCACCACACCCGAGCCCCCUCUCUCUCGAUUACACCCCGACUCCUCCCUAACAACACCCCAACCCCCUCUUCGUCACUCAACCACCACACAACUUUGUUUUUUUUACGGAAACAGUGACAAACGGCUGCAAAAAUGCAUCGGAGAGAGAGGGAAACGAGGACACACACACAGAGAGAGAGAGAGAGAGAGAGAGAACUAGAACAGAAAAUGGCUGUGGCGCCGCCGCUCACGACGGCGGCAGUGGAGAACUGACGGUGGUGGUGUGUCUCCGACAAGCUCCGGUUAGUGAACUUAGUAUGUUAUUUUGUUUCUUUUUACUCCGAUCCGUUAGAACGUGUGCACUCAAAAAUCUACGUUUUAUGUUUUUUUUUUCCGAUGCUAAUCGUUAUGUCGGUGAGGAUGCCGACGUUGUGGUGGCCGACGGCGGCCGGAGCUGCGACAACAAUAACAACCGGCAGUGGUGGUGGUUACAGUUCAACUUUUGAUGUUGGGUUCUUGGUUCGAGCCGGGUUAUAACGUUCCAGAUUCAUGAUGCGACUCGGUCAACUCACGGUUCGAAUUACGUCUCGGCUCAGGUCAGAACUUGUUUUUGGAGUGUAUUGGUUCAGUUUUGGUUGGUUCAAAAAUGCUUCGGAUUCGAUUCAAGCUCGACAAAAUUCUGGGUUGGUUCGUGUUCGGUGUUCGAGUCAAAGAUCGGUCAACAUAAGUCAACAGCGGUCAACCGUAGUCAACGACAAUUAACUCGGUCAACACUUGGUCAACUGAGGGAAAACUUAGUCAACACAACCCGGAAUACUAUAGAUGCACGCUAGCGAGUUCACAUUCUUGGAAUGACAUCACGGAAUCACGUUAAGCUAGCUUUGCACAGGAAUAUUCAGGUUGCAUUUUUCAAAACUACGGAACGGUUGGAAUAGGAGAACCACGGGAUUUCGAGUACUUAGCGGGCGUUCAUUGUUUAGAAGUCUUAGCUACUUGCUUCCGCUGUGCAAUGAAGAUACCAGUCCGGUCACGCCAACUCUGAUAUUUCGGGGUGUGACAGAUAUACUGUCCAAAAUUAUAAUUUCAUAUAGUGAGGUGCUGCUACGAUACCGGGUUAAACAGGCUAAUCAGUAGAUUAAACUCCGCCCGUAUAAAUCUGCAAGGUGAUCUGUUGUGAUCCAAGAAAAGUGCCGUGAAGCACUACAAGCUUAAGGAAGUGGCUCAAUAUAAAUAAAUAAAGAAACAUGUUUUGUGAAAUAAAGAUUUCCCAGUGAAAUCACUUUAUUGUAAAUUACAGGGUUUUAUCCCUAAAUUAUGUAAUAAAGUAAACGGGCAUUUU
rnacentral:lncRNA from 1 species